UACGGAGGGUGCAAGCGUUGUUCGGAAUCACUGGGCGUAAAGCGCGUGUAGGUGGUCUUUUAAGUCUGGUGUGAAAGCCCGGGGCUCACCCCCGGAAGGGCACUGGAUACUGGGAGACUAGAGUACCGGAGAGGAAGGUGGAAUUCCUGGUGUAGCGGUGAAAUGCGUAGAUAUCAGGAGGAACACCGGUGGCGAAGGCGGCCUUCUGGACGGCUACUGACACUGAGACGCGAAAGCGUGGGGAGCAAAC
rnacentral:rRNA from 1 species